rnacentral:lncRNA from 1 species
CCACGGUGCGCCGGGCCGCCGGCGACCGGGUCGCUGCGCUCGGCGACUGCCGCGCUCCUCGGGGAACGUGAGGGUCUGAGUCCGGGAUCCAGGAGAGCAGUUGGUGUCGGGUCUCUGCGGGGGAGCGGGGCUGCGAGCCAGAAUCUGGUGAUUUAGAAGAGAAGAUUGAACAACCAAGAUGAAAACCCCUGCUUCCUUUACCUGAGGUGUGGCCCUGAUGGAGUAAACGCGAAAUUAUUUUCUACAAAAAUUACUUAAUAUUGGCAUCCUCCACUCA